GCCACAACUUAUCUGCAACUGCAAAUGUCAUCUGCUGCUACAGUUGUCUGGCACAUUCUGCUGCGCCAGCAUCCUGAAGAUGCCCAAUAAUGGCAGAAAAUGAUCUCUGUCUGUUGAUGAACUAAUUGCACUCAUAUGCUGGAAUAAUACCAUUAAAAUGUAAUACAGCUGCAUGUUGCAGGACAGCGGAAGAACCAGUGGUACGAUUAAUCCACUUUAGACGCAGAGGAAUCUGUAGAGUCCAUAAAGGGAGAGCUGAUAAGCAUUCAUCCGGGGUUGCUGCGGAAAAAAAGACCCAUCCAGCUGCUAGGAUGGAUUGAUGCAGCGCUGUCAUCCCCGGCUUUGAUGAAAGAUCUUUAAUUUUCCUGGCCGUUAAUGGGAAUUCUCAGUGUCCCUGCAGCCUAUUUUUUUUUAAUUCUCCUUUUGAGUCAAUUAUCAAACUUCUUCAGAGCCAUGAUAAUAACAUGUUUUCACAAUAGUCUUUUAUUUUGUGGGCUUUCUAAUUAAAAUCCUACAAAUUUAUCUUCCAGCCUAUAGCUCUGGAAAUGAUGGUGUUUUAUUUGUG